rnacentral:rRNA from 1 species
CGGCGUGCCUAAUACAUAGCAAGUCGAACGGUCUUUCUAUGGAAGCUUGCUUCCACUGAGAAGAUAGUGGCGAACGGGUGGAGUAACACGUGGGUAACCUGCCCAUAAGAGGGGGAUAACAUCCGGAAACGGGUGCUAAUACCGCAUAGUUUUUCUUGAUCGCAUGAUCGGGAAAGGAAGACGGCCUUUGUGCUGUCGCUUAUGGAUGGACCCGCGGCGUAUUAGUUAGUUGGUGAGGUAACGGCUCACCAAGACGAUGAUACGUAGCCGACCUGAGAGGGUGAUCGGCCACAUUGGGACUGAGACACGGCCCAAACUCCUACGGGAGGCAGCAGUAGGGAAUCUUCCGCAAUGGACGAAAGUCUGACGGAGCAACGCCGCGUGAGUGAAAGAAGGUUUUCGGAUCGUAAAACUCUGUUGUCAGAGAAGAACAAGUUGGAGAGUAACUGCUCCAGCCUUGACGGUAUCUGACCAGAAAGCCACGGCUAACUACGUGCCAGCCGCGGC